CCUACGGGGGGCAGCAGUGGGGAAUAUUGGACAAUGGGGGGAACCCUGAUCCAGCCAUGCCGCGUGUGUGAAGAAGGCCCUCGGGUUGUAAAGCACUUUCAGUGAGGAAGAACGCCUGGUGGUUAAUACCCAUCAGGAAAGACAUCACUCACAGAAGAAGCACCGGCUAACUCCGUGCCAGCAGCCUCGGUAAUACGGAGGGUGCGAGCGUUAAUCGGAAUUACUGGGCGUAAAGCGCGCGUAGGUGGCUUGAUAAGCCGGUUGUGAAAGCCCCGGGCUCAACCUGGGAACGGCAUCCGGAACUGUCAAGCUAGAGUGAACGAGAGGAAGGUAGAAUUCCCGGUGUAGCGGUGAAAUGCGUAGAGAUCGGGAGGAAUACCAGUGGCGAAGGCGGCCUUCUGGACUGACACUGACACUGAGGUGCGAAAGCGUGGGUAGCAAACAGGAUUAGAUACCCCUGUAGUC
rnacentral:rRNA from 1 species